GGGGAUGUAGCUCAGUGGUAUAGCGCAAGCUUUGCAUGUAUGAUGCCCUGGGUUCAAUCCCCGGCAUCUCCA
rnacentral:tRNA from 1 species